ensembl:lncRNA
CGAUCGAUGUCACCGGCUUUCUAGCCAUCACCGCUCCAUUUAUCAUAUAUCCAUUUGUCUUGUCUUGUUUCCAUACACACCUUGUUUACAUUCCCCCCAAUCAAUCUACUUGUAUUUAACCCUCGGUUUCCAUCAUGUUUUGUGUGUAAUUGUUUCAUGUUAUGUGGUGUUAGUUUACGCGCUUUACUUUUAUGUUCCGUUUUUUGAGCGUGUUUGAUUUAUGUAGUGCUCUUGUUUUUGGAACUAUAAUAAAAGUGCGCUUGUUCAUUAUACGCUGCUCUCCUGCACCUGACUUCGCCUCCAAUACACCAUGGACAAUAGUUCUUAUUUUUCAUUUCGAGGUGCACGGACGAUCAACACGUUCAAUCUACACAGGAAACAUGGUGUUCAUUUAUGCACCUUGCAAUGAAAAAUCUCAAAUAAAUUGUCAAGUCAAGGCAGUUGAUGAUAGGACAUAUGCAGGAAGGCUUUCUGAAGGGCAGUUUUUCGAAGGAAGUAUUUAUGUAAAUGCUCCCUCUGUCACAGCGAGCAUUUACCUUGUCAAAACUGAAAUUGCACCGCACAUUUUAGGAAAAAAAACGGACUAUUGCUGUUCCCUCUGCGUGUACAGAACCAUCAAUGUUCUUUCUCAUUUUGUGAAAGGACAUUGUGAGGUUUGGAGAAAUUGAGGUACAAACUAAAUUGACCAUAAUGUCAACCAUAUUGUUUAUCUGUUUUGAUAGAUUUUCAGAAUUUUUUUGGGAGAGUUUCCACAAAUAGCUUUAUACUAUGUGCUCUGUUAUCACCUGCAGAAUAUACUGUAGCUCUUUCUCCAUGUAGGGGCCACGAUACUGUUGGAGCUGUUGCUGUAGACUGUUCUGGUAAUGUUGCAUGUGCAACUUCCACUGGAGGAAUAAGAAACAAAACGGUGGGCAGAGUAGGAGAUCAUAGGUAAUAGGUAAGUAGUUGUUUAUUAACCUAUCCUCUUUCAUGCCAUAAUUGAACUGGAUUCAUCUGAACAGUUUAUGUAUGUUGAUUUGAAGUUUUAUUUGACCUUCUCUUGUCUCUGUUAAAUAAGGGUCUGGUGGGUAUGCAGACAACCUGAGUUGGGCAGUAUCCUGUACUUGCCAUGGAGAGUCCAUCCUGAAAGUCACCCUAGCCAGACUCUUCCACGUAGAGCAAGGUAAUGUAAGCCUAAUCGGAAUCACUUUGUAAUCAUUCACAAAGUCACUUGGGUAUCAUAGUCACAGUUAUCUUAUUAUUGAAUGUAAUAUAUCUACAAUUUGAUAUGUGAAAGUAGGCGUUUGAUAAAUUGCCCAUAUUGAUUGUUUUGAUAGCCAAUAAGGAUAAUCCUGAGUCUGGAAUAUCAACCUCUUAAUUGUUGGGUCUGGUUAAUGAAAGGCCUGGUGGAUCGGAUCGAUUAUGUGCCAAAAUAUUUUCCACCAACAUAAUUGGCCCACUUAACUUUGGCAAUAUAAUUAGCAAAGUGUCAGACAAUCUGGUUGUCUUCCCCAGGCCAGACAGUAUGUCAUGAUGGAUGUGCCAGGUCUUUGCAUUAGGAAAUCAAAUUAUUCUAUAACCAAAAACUCAGAUGCAAACACAGUUCAGUGUCAGAUUUGAUAUAGAGAGGUGUUUGAAACUAAUGCACUGUCAAAUACAGACAUGAUACAAUAGGAAUAGUUAAAUGAAUAGUUAAUGAGACUGGGUUACAUUCUCCUCUCUGUAAUAGCUUCCGUUAAUUAAAGUAAUUUUGUAAUUUAAAUAUCUAAUUAGCACCUCCUCUUGCAGAAACAGAAUGUUCAGAGGCCCUGGGAAACUUUAGAACAAUUAGAUCUACUGACACAAGAGACAAGUUGAUGAAUCAUUGUAUAUGUAUGGUUCCAACUUCUACCUGACAGCUCUAAGAUUUCAGAUAAAAUCUCUAAAAUAGACUAACAGUAUUCAAUCUAUGCUAAAAGUGAAUAAUAACAGCCUAUCGGCUCACACGGCUGAAACCCUCUUUGAAUUUGAAUCAGAACAACAGAGGCCCAUCUGGAUUGGAUCCUGCAAGUGACUUUGCUUCUUCUUCACAUCCCCUUUUUCACCCCCCUUCUUUUUUUACACACCCAUUUUUUCACAUCCCCCUUUUUCACAUCCUUUCUUUUUUUACACACCCAUUUUUCACAUCCUUUUACACCAAUUCUGGUAUGUAUCAAUGGGACCUCUGACACAGAGACAGUAGAUGCAGCUAAGUACUCUCCAAAACUAUUCUCCAUGGUGUUUUGUUUUCAAGCAGUGCUUUCUUUCCUUAAUGAGAUUGGUUGUUGUGCAUAGCCACGGUAGUGUUACAUAGAUCUGAUCUUUUUUUGUUGCUCACAGGUAGUUGCACAUUUACACUAACAUCAGCUUACGCGUGGCCGUGCUCAGUGGAUGCAAACAUUGUGACGUUUUGACAUUGCCACUGCCAAUCAUUUUUAAUUGGCAAGCAGUAGAAAGAGGUGACUGAGCAGAGUGGGGCUGCACUGGGCUGAUAAUGAGGCAACGUCUGUAGAAGGGUCAGCGGGGCCAGUGUUGGUUACAUUGUCCUCUGGUAAUGACACAGGGAAAUGGGAAGAACGGCUGCUCUGUCUGCUCUGUCUUCGCGAGAGGUUUCUUCUGCUUCGUUAAAUGGCUGCACUGCCCACAGCUACAGUGCCGUUCCUUUCUUUAGGCUUUGAAUUAGAAAAUGUUUUCUUGGUUGCUUUAGAAGUAGCCUAGAUCCUAAAAAUGAUUUCCCCCCCCCCCCACUGACAAAUGACCUCGCACCUUUUAUUAUCAUUGCAGUGAAUUGUUUACAAUAACAAUGUGUUUUGACAAGAGUUGUCAGGCUGGCUUAUGUUUCAUUUCAAUUGAUGUGAAUGU